UUUAGCAGUCAGACACAAGAUGAGCUAGUCUUGGCUUUUGGAAAUGCUUAAGUGUCGUUUCAGCUGACUGGAGACAGCAAGAGUACUCUACACGGUUUCCCCAAAGCCUAAUCUCACAGGAAUGACAACUUUGCAUUUGUUUCAAAAUGAAGAAAGACACCCGCAUCACCAGAGGGACGUGGAGAACCUCAGCCUGUUCUACUUGUGCUCCCCCUCUGCAGUUUAUGAUGAAAC
rnacentral:lncRNA from 1 species